AGAAGAUGCUGAACUUAAGGCAUACCAUACCAAAAACAGGCAUUUCAUUUCUCGCGAAGAUUGUUCAGAUAUUCUAGAUUGGAUCAGGAGAACCCAGGGGUCAACAGAAAGAACUUGUUCAUUCUCCUGAGUGAACCUCCUUUGCUCAUCAUGACCUCACAAAACUUCGGUUACAUGAUGACCAUUUCCUCACUGACCUUCAAGAGCAAAGGAUGCAAAUCUGUUUUUAAAGUUAUCACUUGAAGAAUGUAACUGAUAGUCAAAGCAAAUGCAGAUCCUUCUCCAAGAGACUCAACGUUCCAGAAACAAGACCAUUU